UACGUAGGGGGCAAGCGUUGUCCGGAUUCAUUGGGCGUAAAGAGCGUGUAGGCGGCCAGGUAGGUCGGUUGUGAAAACUGGAGGCUCAACCUUCAGAGGUCGACCGAAACCAUCUGGCUAGAGUCCGGGAGAGGUGAGUGGAAUUCCUGGUGUAGCGGUGAAAUGCGCAGAUAUCAGGAAGAACACCCGUGGCGAAAGCGGCUCUCUGGAACGGUACUGACGCUGAGACGCGAAAGCGUGGGGAGCGAACAGG
rnacentral:rRNA from 1 species